GGUGAACGCUGGCGGCGUGCUUAAGACAUGCAGGUCGAACGGCAGUCUUCGGACUGUAGUGGCGCACGGGUGAGUAACGCGUAACUGACCUACCCCAAAGUCGCGGAUAACGAUUCGAAAGAAUCGCUAAUACGUGAUGUGCUGUCAGAUUGUGUUCUGCCAGUAAAGAUUGAUUGCUUUGGGAUGGGGUUGCGUUCCAUCAGCUAGUUGGUGGGGUAAAGGCCCACCAAGGCGACGACGGAUAGCCGGCCUGAGAGGGUGGCCGGCCACAGGGGCACUGAGACACGGGUCCCACUCCUACGGGAGGCAGCAGUUAGGAAUCUUCCACAAUGGGCGAAAGCCUGACGGAGCGACGCCGCGUGAGGGAUGAAGGUCUUCGGAUCGUAAACCUCUGAAUCAGGGACGAAAGACACUUCGGUGGGAUGACGGUACCUGAGUAAUAGCACCGGCUAACUCCGUGCCAGCAGCCGCAGUAACAC
rnacentral:rRNA from 1 species